AUAUCAAUAAGCGGAGGAAAAGAAACCAACAGGGAUUGCCUUAGUAGCGGCGAGUGAAGCGGCAAAAGCUCAAAUUUGAAAUCUGGCACUUUCAGUGUCCGAGUUGUAAUUUGAAGAAGGUAUCUUUGGGUCUGGCUCUUGUCUAUGUUUCUUGGAACAGAACGUCACAGAGGGUGAGAAUCCCGUGCGAUGAGAUGACCCAGACCUAUGUAAAGUUCCUUCGAAGAGUCGAGUUGUUUGGGAAUGCAGCUCUAAGUGGGUGGUAAAUUCCAUCUAAAGCUAAAUAUUGGCGAGAGACCGAUAGCGAACAAGUACAGUGAUGGAAAGAUGAAAAGAACUUUGAAAAGAGAGUGAAAAAGUACGUGAAAUUGUUGAAAGGGAAGGGCUUGAGAUCAGACUUGGUAUUUUGUAUGUUACUCUCUCGGGGGUGGCCUCUACAGUUUACCGGGCCAGCAUCAGUUUGGGCGGUAGGACAAUUGCAAAGAAAUGUGGCACUGCCUCGGUAGUGUGUUAUAGUCUUUGUCGAUACUGCCAGCCUAGACUGAGGACUGCGGCUUCGGCCUAGGAUGUUGGCAU
rnacentral:rRNA from 1 species